rnacentral:rRNA from 1 species
GAAAGUAAGCAAGGGCAGACGGUGGAUGCCUUGGCUCUCGGAGGCGACGAAGGACGUGAUAAGCUGCGAAAAGCCCGGGGGAGGCGCAAAUAGCCCUUGAUCCCGGGAUAUCCGAAUGGGGCAACCCGGCAGGCUGAAGGCCUGUCAUCCCGAAAGGGAGGCGAACGUGGGGAACUGAAACAUCUAAGUACCCAUAGGAGGAGAAAAUAAACAAUGAUUCCGUAAGUAGUGGCGAGCGAACACGGAAGAGCCCAAACCCAUGUCGUCUAGGCGACACGGGGGUUGUAGGACCACGACGUGGCAAGAUAGAGUCAAGUGGAACGCCUUGGAAAGGGCGACCGUAGAGGGUGAUAGUCCCGUACACGACUGACGAUUGAAGCCUAGUGGUAUCCUGAGUAGCGCGGGGCACGAGAAAUCUUGCGUGAAACAGCGGGGCCCAUCCCGUAAGGCUAAAUACUCCCGAGAGACCGAUAGCGAACCAGUACCGUGAGGGAAAGGUGAAAAGAACCCCGAGCAGGGGAGUGAAAUAGACCCUGAACCCGUCUGCCUACAAGCGGUCGGAGCGUCGUAAUGACGUGACGGCGUGCCUUUUGCAUAAUGAACCUACGAGUUACCUUCCCCGGCAAGGUUAAGUUCUUGAGGAACGGAGCCGAAGCGAAAGCGAGUCUGAACAGGGCGCCAAGUCGGGGGGGGUAGACGCGAAACCGAGUGAUCUACCCUUGGCCAGGUUGAAGGUUGGGUAACACCAACUGGAGGACCGGAUGGGUAAGCGUUGAAAAGCUUUCCAAUGAGCUGAGGGUAGGGGUGAAAGGCUAAUCAAACUCGGAGAUAGCUCGUACUCCCCGAAAUGCAUUUAGGUGCAGCCUCUUUAUAGUAUAUCGUGAGGUAGAGCGACUGAUUGGAUGCGAGGGCUUCACCGCCUAUCAAGUCCAGAUAAACUCCGAAUGCGCGAUAUAUAUUUACAGGGAGUGAGGGCGCGGGUGCUAAGGUCCGUGUCCGAGAGGAGAAGAAUCCAGACCACCGGCUAAGGCCCCCAAAUGAUCGUUAAGUUGAACUAACGAGGUCGGAUCGCAGAGACAGCUAGGAUGUUGGCUUGGAAGCAGCCAUUCAUUUAAAGAGUGCGUAACAGCUCACUAGUCGAGCGAUCUGGCGUGGAUAAUAAUCGGGCAUAAACGAUCUGCCGAAGCCGUGGAUGUCGCAAGACAUGGUAGGGGAGCAUUCCAUGCCGCGUCGAAGAUGAGGGAUGACCCUUGUUGGAGCGCAUGGAAAAGCAAAUGUAGGUAUGAGUAACGAUAAGGGGGGCGAGAAACCCCCCCGCCGAAAGACCAAGGUUUCCUGAUCAACGCUAAUCGGAUCAGGGUGAGUCGGGACCUAAGGCAAAGCCGAACGGCGCCGCCGAUGGAAGAAUGGGUUAAUAUUCCCAUACUGCCUCAUGGAGUGACGUGGAGACGGAGAAGUGACAGUCCUGCCGGCUGACGGAAUAGCCGGUUGAAGGGUGUAGAUAUUGAUUCCCGUAGGCAAAUCCGCGGGGAGAGUCGAACCUGAGAGUAUACGGAGCGCUUGCGCAACGUAAUAUGGACGUAACCAUGCUCCCGAGAAAAUCCGCUAAACUUAUCCAUGCGGCACCCGUACCGUAAACGGACACACGUGGUCGGGUUGAGAAUACUGAGGCGCUCGAGUGAUUCACGGUUAAGGAACUAGGCAAAUUGACCCUGUAACUUCGGGAUAAAGGGUCCUCGUCGUAAGGCGAGGCGCAGAGAAUAGGUCCAGGCAACUGUUUAACAAAAACACAUGGCUGUGCGAAAUGGAAACAUGAGGUAUACAGCCUGACACCUGCCCGGUGCCGGAAGGUUAAGAGGAGAUGUCAUCCGCGAGGAGAAGCGUUGAAUUGAAGCCCCGGUAAACGGCGGCCGUAACUAUAACGGUCCUAAGGUAGCGAAAUUCCUUGUCGGGU